GAUGAACGCUGGCGGCGUGCCUAACACAUGCAAGUCGAGCGAACAGACGAGGAGCUUGCUCCUCUGACGUGAGCGGCGGACGGGUGAGUAACACGUGGAUAACCUACCUAUAAGACUGGGAUAACUUCGGGAACCCGGAGCUAAUACCGGAUAAUAUAUUGAACCGGAGGGUUCAAUAGUGAAAGACGGUUUUGCUGUCACUUAUAGAUGGAUCCGCGUCGGAUUAGCUAGUUGGUAAGGUAACGGCCUACCAAGGCGACGAUGCGUAGCCGACCUGAGAGGGUGAUCGGCCACACUGGAACUGAGACACGGUCCAGACUCCUACGGGAGGCAGCAGUAGGGAAUCUUCCGCAAUGGGCGAAAGCCUGACGGAGCAACGCCGCGUGAGUGAUGAAGGUCUUCGGAUCGUAAAACUCUGUUAGUAGGGAAGAACAAAUGUGUGAGUAACUCUGCACGUCUUGACGGUACCUAAACAGUAAGCCACGGCUAACUACGUG
rnacentral:rRNA from 1 species